AUAUAUUUAUUAUACUUUUAAUUUUAAAACUUUGCGCUAUUUCUGAAAAGAAACUUAAUAAUUUUUAAAAAGUAAAAUUAUAUUCCUUUUGUAUCAGGAAUAAUUAAAAUAUUUAACUAUUUUUUUUCAUUCCUGAAAAGAAAAGAUCUAUUAAUUAAAAUUAAUUAUAUUAAAAUAUAAUAAAAAUUAGUUUUUAGAAAUUAAACUUUAAUCGAAUUUCUUGAUACCCGGUAUUUCACCUUAUAAAAAUUUAUCUAUAAAAAUUUAUUGUACCAGCUAUAAAUUUUAGAAUACUUCUUUUUUCCUUAACAUAAAAAAUAAAAUUUUUUAAAAAAUUUUACACUUAAUUAUAAGUUUAAUUUUUCUCUUACAAGUGAAAAAAUUUUUUCAUAAAAUCCAUUAUAAUUAUAUUAGUAUAUAAAUGAAUUAAUUCAAAAGAACUCGGCUGUAAAGAAAUGACUGUUUAACAAAAACAUUUUUUUAAAAAUUAUUUAAAAUAUAACCUGCUCAAUGAAAUUUUAAUAGCCGCAGAAAUUUAACUGUGCUAAGGUAGCAUAAUCAUUAGUCUCUUAAUUAGGGGCUAGAAUGAAAGGUUUAACAUUUUCUUUUCUAUUUUUAAAUUAAAUUUAGAACUUAUACUAAAUAUAAAAAUAUAUUUAUAAAAAAAAUAGACGACAAGACCCUUUCAAACUUUACUGAAGUUUAGCUGGGGAAGCUUUUUAAUUAAAAUCUUAUAAAUUUAUACAUAAAAGACCUAAUAUAAAUUAAUUAUAUGAACAAGUUACUGAAGGGAUAACAGCAUAAUAAAUUUUUAAAGUUCUUAUUAAAAAAUUAGUUUAUGACCUCGAUGUUGAAUUAUUUUACUUUUAAACGCAAGAGUUUAAAAAGUGGGUCUGUUCGACCCUUAAACUUUUACAUGAUUUGAGUUCAAAUCGGCGUAAGCCAGAUUGGAUUCUAUCUAUUUAUUACUUUUCUUUUAGUACGAAAGGGCCAAAGAAAAAUUAUAUUAAUAAU
rnacentral:rRNA from 1 species